rfam:Aspergillus glaucus CBS 516.65 unplaced genomic scaffold ASPGLscaffold_28, whole genome shotgun sequence.
GGCAAGAUGGCCGAGUGGUCUAAGGCGCUGUGUUUAGGUUAUCCAUAGUAAAUUACCGUACAAAAGUACGGUAUUAUGGUGUGAUCCGCAGUACGAAAGUGCGAGGGUUCGAAUCCCUCUCUUGUCA